GUUUUGGCAGACGAUGGGCUUUUCUGCCAACGGCAAGCAGGUUCUCUUCCCCGAAGAGGCUCUCUACCUGAUGGAGUGUGGAAACGUGCAGGUGUUUUACGAGGAGCUGCCGAUGUCCAUCCAGGACGGGUACGAGAAGUUUCUGUCGUCGAGCGCAGUGAGCCUCCAGCAAUAUCAGGUGUUUGGGCAUUUGAAGAGGCUCGGCUAUGUGGUGCACAGGUU